CAGAUGGGUGCCUUCUGAGCAAAGGGCUGGAGCAAGUCCUAUGGAAGCUGUACUGGGAAGCCAGACGGAAGAGCAAAGGGAGAGGUUUUCUCCUUCCAUGGAGGAAGCAUGUGAUGCUUGGAACUAUAGCCGCUGUCUUGUGAGCAGGCGGAAACAGCCCCAAGGAUCAUGAAGAAGCUGACCCAGAUCCUGGACAUCACUCAGCAACUGAACAAAUCUUGAAAUUGCCUCUCUCAAGGUUUCUUGUUAGCCUCCUCUAGUGCCAUAGUCUCCUGCAAAAUUAAAAGCAAAACACUUCUGUGUGGUGAUGUGUUGAAUGACUACUUUUCCUGAGAUGUUGCUGGCUCGAGGAGAUAGGACCUGUGUCCACCUAGUUGGCUGCUAGAGGCUCACUCGCUAAAUCUAUUCUUCCAGGAUUGUGUGCUGACCAGAAGCAAAAUGAAACUAUUGCAGUGGCUUCUUAGACAAGCUUUGUGAGAAAAAACACAUGGUUAUCUGCAGAGUUACAAGAAAAUGUCCAGUAUCAAAUAAAUGACGGGUCAUCUGACUCCCAAACAAUAUGGCCAGAGUGUUCAUAAGAACCAAAGAAGCUGAGUCAGAUCAUUUCGAAAGGACAAAUGCAGUGCUCCUCCAAAAUCAGUAACUUGUGGAAUGUAGCAAUCUUGCCUUGUAUUUUCUCUGAGCCAAGCAGCCUGGUCCUGUCAAGCUCAUCUUUCAUCCCCUUCG